rnacentral:lncRNA from 12 species
UUCUGAACCAACGACUAAAAGGUUAGCACCCUACCUCAUUUCAAAACGACACAACUCUAUUUGACGUGGACAAAAGCUGAAAAAGUGAUUUUGGAUUGGGCAGGGUACUAAAAAUAACCACUCUGCCUAUCUAACUUUGCUCCCAGUUGUGUGCUGCAAAGCACAUGUAAACAGAGAGAAACCGUUUUGGUUUUUUGGUUUUGUUUUUUUUUUCCUCCAGCCUUCCAGUGUUUUACGCUUUCCUAUGGCGAGUCGGCACCGCACAGCUUAGUGGCCAAUUACUCGCAAUGGUGUCAUUCUCAGUUGACAGCCGUCCGGCUAGAUUUCAGACGUCCUGUGGGCAAGAGCAGGGUCCUGUGUAUAAGAGCACCGAGCACAGGGGGGCCCAGGGCAGCGCCACCCCGGCAGGCGCGGACGGGCCCUCCCCAUAGCUUCCACAUGUGCACCCCCAAUGCCUGCUGGUGCUAACGUCUCAGGCUUCCUUAGCCGCGUGCCUCCCCGUUAGUCCAGUGUUUGUUUUGCUUGCUUUUUUUUCCCCCCAUUUAAAAAUUGGAUUUGUCUUAUUGAAUUCGGGGUGGUUUAUAUAAUCUGGAUUCAAGCCUUCUGUUGCGUCUGUGAUUCACAGGUACUUCCUGCCAGGCUGUGCCUUUUGUUCUCACUUACGGACGAUGAUGGCUCUUGGCGUGCAAAGGUUUUUAGUAUCAAUAACGCCCCCUUAUCCGUUUCUUCGGCUGGUUGUGCUUUUGGGGUUGGAUCCAAGAAAUCUCUGCCUGAGCCAAGGUCAUUAAGAUACACUUGUGUCGCCCGCUUGCACUAAGGGCUGUGCUCGUCUUGAGCUGGUUGUUGUACGUGGUGUACGGAUUUGCAGGUGGCCAUCCGCCGCCCUGGUGUGAGCUGUUGGGAAAACACCCGGACUGGUCCUCCCCCCGUUGCAUUGCGGUGGCACCUUUGUGGAAUCCUCGCCACUCGCGUUCCAUGCCCCAGCGCUCUGUCUCUCUCCCUCUCUCCCCCUCCUCUUGCUCAUCAUGGUGGUUGGCAGAGUGGCGGGUGGGACUCUAGCCGCUGUUCUAAGCGUAUGACCGCAUGACCGAGUUGACCAAAAGCCGGCGGCGGCCUGAGCAGCCUCGGGUGGUCAAAGGCACCAACCCGUCUCUGCCACUCGCCAGCCGUGUGACCUGGGUUAAGUUUCUUAACUGGUUCCUGCCUCAGUUUCCCCACCUGUGAACUAGGGGUGCUGGUAGCUCCUUAGCUCACAGGGUUAUCUAAGAAAGUUGAGCAGACACCCGUAACGGUCUGCUGUUCCAUGGGCGCGGUGGCGUUUUCUGACUCCUGCCAUGCCUCUGGGUCGGCCUUGCUCACCCGGCUGCAUGUAGGCUAAGAUGAAAGCGGGGUGGGGGGGGGUUGAGGAGCACUCGGCACAGCCUGUAGCCGUCCAGGAAGGGGCUCCUCUAGCCCCCCAGUCUGGCUG